AUCAAUUCUCAGCCUUUUGGCUAAGAGCAAGUGUAGUAUCUGUUCUUACUAGUUUAAUAUCUGAUACAUCCUAGAUGAGAUGACUUUAUAUUAAAAGGAUUUUUGGGGUGAUACUCCCC
rfam:Acanthisitta chloris contig72338, whole genome shotgun sequence.